rnacentral:tmRNA from 1 species
GGGGACGACACGGUUUCGACAGUGAUCGUAGGCCAAAGGUGCAUGCCGAGUGGCGCAAUAACGCUCGUUAAACAACCAGUUGCAAAUUUAGUUGCAAACGAUAGCAACUUCGCUGCUGAAGCAAUCGCUGCCUAAACCCCAGUAGAUUCUUCAACGCCGCCUAAAAAACGGCAACAGCCUAUUGACCCGAUUCGCUUAUCGGUUGGAGUCAAUAGUCAUAUAGGUAAGACCGCAAGCACGACAUGGCUCAUGGUGUGUUUGUCAAAUCAAAGGGCUCGCUGUUCAAUAAUCCCGACUGCUGGAAUGUGAACGGUUAAACUCGAAGGCAGCUCUAAGCAUGUAGAGCUAAUGGAAGAAAAUCAUUGGACGCGGGUUCGAUUCCCGCCGUCUCCACUU